rnacentral:rRNA from 1 species
GAUGAACGCUGGCGGCGUGCUUAACACAUGCAAGUCGAACGAGAAGUGAAGACGGAAACCUUCGGGCGGAAGGCUUUAUUUCGAGUGGCGGACGGGUGAGUAACGCGUGGGUAACCUGCCUCAUACAGGGGGAUAACAGUUGGAAACGACUGUUAAUACCGCAUAAGACCACAGCACCGCAUGGUGCGGGGGUAAAAACUCCGGUGGUAUGAGAUGGACCCGCGUUCGAUUAGCCAGUUGGCGGGGUAACGGCCCACCAAAGCGACGAUCGAUAGCCGAUCUGAGAGGAUGACCGGCCACAUUGGGACUGAGACACGGCCCAAACUCCUACGGGAGGCAGCAGUGGGGAAUAUUGCACAAUGGGGGAAACCCUGAUGCAGCGACGCCGCGUGAGUGAAGAAGUAUUUCGGUAUGUAAAGCUCUAUCAGCAGGGAAGAAAAUGACGGUACCUGAGUAAGAAACCCCGGCUAACUACGU